UACGGAGGGUGCAAGCGUUAAUCGGAAUUACUGGGCGUAAAGCGCGCGUAGGCGGCUUAGUAAGUCGGAUGUGAAAUCCCCGGGCUUAACCUGGGAACUGCAUUCGAUACUGCUGAGCUAGAGUAUGGAAGAGGGAAGUGGAAUUCCGGGUGUAGCGGCGAAAUGCGUAGAUAUCCGGAGGAACACCAGUGGCGAAGGCGGCUUCCUGGGCCAAUACUGACGCUGAGGUGCGAAAGCGUGGGGAGCAAACAGG
rnacentral:rRNA from 1 species